GACAGAGGUGCCGAGCGUUAGGCGGAAUCACUGGGCUUAAAGCGUGUGUAGGCGGAUCCGUAAGUACCUUGUGAAAUCCCACGGCUCAACCGUGGAACUGCUCGGUAUACUGCGGAUCUUGAGCCACCUAGGGGCGAGCGGAACAAGUGGUGGAGCGGUGAAAUGCGUAGACAUCACUUGGAACGCCAAUGGUGAAAACAGCUCGCUGGGGGUGUGCUGACGCUGAGACACGAAAGCCAGGGGAGCAAACGGG
rnacentral:rRNA from 1 species